GGUCAUAUCACUAGCACAGUAUACACAGAGAUAAUGUAACCCUUCUUCUUCUACCAUGGCCUACAUGAUAAUAAAGAAUGUGUUAGUGGACAUGGAGAUAUUCCCUGCCUCUGAGACACUUGGAUGAAACCUUCAAAAUCUCCUGAACCCUCCUCAAGCUCCCAGCAAAUGGAAAUAUGAGUAUUUGUGAGCAGGCUGCAGUGCUGUCCUUCAUCAUUUUUCAAAAUACAUUUUCAUUUCACAUGUUACCUCCAUCCUGUGUGGUCUUCAUGUUCUGUAAGACAACUUGAAAUGCUGAAAAAGGAGUGAUCUUGUUUCAACUAAGGUAGAGUUAAU
rnacentral:lncRNA from 1 species